rnacentral:lncRNA from 1 species
UGGUAAAUUUUGUGUGAUACUGUUAAGUUCCAAGGUUUUUUCGUCUAUGAAAGGGGGCUUCGAGGGGGCGGGCAACGGUUCAUCAUUUUUUGCUAGCAUUUUUAGCGCCGCUGACAUAGAUGGUCUUAAGGAUGCUGCUUCUUGGGUGCAAAGAAGUCCCACAUGUACCGCUUUUAUGGCGUCUCUUUGAAAACUAAUGUUGGGAUGAAUAUGCAUCAUUAGAUUUGGGUCAAAUAUUUCCUCCACUCUACCUUGCUUGAAAUGUUUCCAUGCCUUAGACGGUAAGUUGUCGGUAUAUUCGGUAAUGUUGCUUUUGCUGUUUUCCAUGCCAGUGACCACCUCAAGAAUUAGAACACCAAAGCUAUAGACAUCCACCUUUUCUGUUAACUGACCAUGGGCUAUGUACUCCGGAGCCAUAUAC